UCCCUCGUAGCUCAGUUGGUAAAGAAUCUGCCUGCAAUGCAGGAGACCCAGGUUCGAUUCCUGGGUCGGGAA
rnacentral:tRNA from 1 species